rnacentral:rRNA from 1 species
UACGGAGGGUGCAAGCGUUAAUCGGAAUUACUGGGCGUAAAGCGCACGUAGGCGGUUCGUUAAGUCGGAUGUGAAAUCCCCGGGCUCAACCUGGGAAUUGCGAUGGAGACUGCACGGCUAGAGUGUGUCAGAGGGGGGUAGAAUUCCACGUGUAGCAGUGAAAUGCGUAGAUAUGUGGAGGAACACCGAUGGCGAAGGCAGCCCCUGGGAUAACACUGACGCUCAUGC